rnacentral:misc_RNA from 1 species
GAAACCAAGAAGAUGAAGAACCAGCACAACCAUUGCCUCCAAUCAUACCAAUAGUAGCACUAGCCAUAUUUUCCCAAAACAACAAAAAACAAGAAAAACCCAGAAAAUAUUCUUACAAAAUAUUUGAUCAAAGAACCAGAUACCAAGAAAAACAGAACAAUGGGCAAAGAAAGAGGGGGGGUUUUGGCUCAAAAGAUGCUUGAGAAUUUGGUAAAGGUAAAAACUUUGAAUAAUAGAAUAGAAAAAAGGAUUAGGGGCGACGUGUAUUAGGGUAAUAUUUAUAGAGGGAAAACAAAAUUCAUAUAGCCAUUGGAGAGGAAGGGUCCUUAUCCAUAAGAGUCCGUUCUCUGUGAUGGUUGUGAC